ensembl:lncRNA
CUCCACAAAACUGCAAAGCUUUAACCCUCUUCAUUUUUCUCAGCAACCUGUUACGAGCGUUCCCUUGGCGGGGCUGUGUUAUUAACUCCCCUCUCCCCCAAAUCUAAGCAGUCAAGUAGAAUUUCGAAGGUUUGUGUGCUAUACAAAAACACCAAAAUGCAAAUAUCGCUCCCAGCUGCCUGUUCAAGUCCAAAAAGUACGUUGGUAGUCACGUCGGGCUUUUUUGCUACCCCAUGGACUGCAGCCCGCCAGGCUCCUCUGUCCAUGGGAUUCUCCAGGAAAGAGUACUAGAGUGGGUUGCCAGUUCCUUCUCCAGGGGAUCUAUCUACCUGACCCGGGGAUCCAACCUGGGUCUCCUGGACUGCAAACGGAUUCUUUACCGUCUGAGCCACCACAGAAGCCCCACUGUUAAUUGUACAGUCGUAUCCGACUCUUUGCGACUCCAUGGACUGUAGCCCACCAGACUCCUCUGUCCAUGGAAUUCUCCAAGCAUGAAUACUGGAGUGUGUUGCCGUUUCCUUCUCCAGAACAGAAGCCCCAACCCCACUCAAAUUCAGCUCUUAAGUUUCAGCCGUUGCUCCCAAAGUGAAGGAAAAAAAUAGCAGCAGCCCCGAGGCGCGCCGUUUUAGCAAUAGUCCACUUUUGAACAAAGGAGGAAAGAACAGAGUUUAAAGGAAAAGACGGGGAUUUUAAGAAUGGUUAGACUGGUGGAGAAAGAAGAAAGAUCAGAGACCUGAGAGCCAAGGCGCGAUGGGUGCUCAGAGGAGGAACCUGCGGGUGCCAAUGCGUCCCCGCAGCCCCGACACCACCCAGACCUUGAGCCCCCGUCGCGUAGCCCGCGCUUUGCAAGUUUCGCGCGACACGUGCUGCGCCCCAGAGACCGGGUCCCGGAGGUGGGGAGCCGCCCAUCGCCCCCACCUCGCGCCUGCUCCGUGCUUCUCUCCGCUCAGCCAGCCCUCGCUCCUCUCCGGCUCUUUCAGCAGCUGCUCGGGUGGAUUCUGUUCCCUCCGGCAACGCCCUCUCUCUCCCUGGGUUAAUUAAGUGAUGGUCGCCAAGGAAAUGGUGUAUUCUUUACUGCUGAACCAUCGGGAGUGCUGCUGCUGCUACUAAGUCACUUCAGUCAUGUCCAACUCUGUGCGACCCCAUAGACGGAAGCCCACCAGGCUCCCCCGUCCCUGGGAUUCUCCAGGCAAGAACACUGGAGUGGGUUGCCAUUUCCUUCUCCAGUGCAUGAAAGUGAAAAGUGAAAGUGAAGUCGCUCAGUCCUGUCUGACUUUUAGCGACCCCAUGGACUGCAGCCUACCAGGCUCCUCUGCCCAUGGGAUUUUCCAGGCAAGAGUACUGGAGUGGGGUGCCAUUGCCUUCUCCGGCCACCAGGAGUUACCUCUGGCCAAAUUCACUUAACAACUUCAUCUCUUUCCACUCCUCCUUGGCAUCCUAAUUUAUACCCUCAAUGAAAUAACAGGCCAUAAACCUUUGCAUCUGUGUUUUCCUAUAGAACUUUGUUUAUACUUUAACAUAAACGUUUCCUUUUUAUGUAUUCAUGUUCUUAGCCAGAUUAGGAACUUCAUGAUGACACAGACUAUGUCUUAAUUCAGGCAGUUAUAAAUGUGAACUAUACUUAUAUUGUUUUAAUUCCUGGGGGCCCUACAUAUAUUUAGUCUCUAAAAGUGGAACGUGUCAAGGCAAUAUAUAACAAAAGGAUUCCCUUGCCAAUGAGUUAGCUUUUAGUCUUUGAGAAAUAUGAUCA